rnacentral:rRNA from 1 species
UGGGGAAUAUUGGGCAAUGGGGGCAACCCUGACCCAGCGACGCCGCGUGAGGGAAGAAGGCCUUAGGGUCGUAAACCUCUGUUGUGUGGGAAGAAGGAAGUGACGGUACCACACGAGGAAGUCCCGGCUAACUACGUGCCAGCAGCCGCGGUAAUACGUAGGGGACGAGCGUUGUCCGGAAUUACUGGGCGUAAAGGGCGCGUAGGCGGUCAUUUAAGUCAGCUGUGAAAUGGUCCGGCUCAACCGGAUCAUGCGGUUGAAACUGGAUGACUGGAGUGCUGGAGAGGCAAGAGGAAUUCCCAGUGUAGCGGUGAAAAGCGUAGAUAUUGGGAAGAACACCGGUGGCGAAGGCGACUUGCUGGCCAGCAACUGACGCUGAGGCGCGAAAGCCAGGGGAGCAA